AGAUUGAACGCUGGCGGCAUGCCUAACACAUGCAAGUCGAACGGGAGUAGCAAUACUCUAGUGGCGGACGGGUGAGGAAUACGUAGGAAUUUGCCCUUAAGUGGGGGAUAACCCGGGGAAACCCGGAUUAAUACCGCAUGACCUCGAAAGAGCAAAGUGGGGGAUCGCAAGACCUCACGCUUUUGGAGAAGCCUACGUCGGAUUAGCUAGUUGGUGAGGUAAUGGCUCACCAAGGCGACGAUCCGUAACUGGUCUGAGAGGAUGAUCAGUCACACCGGAACUGAGACACGGUCCGGACUCCUACGGGAGGCAGCGAGUGGGGAAUAGUUGGACAAGUGGGCGCAAGCCUGAUCCAGCAAUGCCGCGUGUGUAGAAGAAGGCCUUCGGGUUAGUAAAGCUAACGUUUAAGUUAGGAAA
rnacentral:rRNA from 1 species